AUGAACGCUGGCGGCGUGCCUAAUACAUGCCAGUCGAGCGAACAGAUGAGGAGCUUGCUCCUCUGACGUUAGCGGCGGACGGGUGAGUAACACGUGGAUAACCUACCUAUAAGACUGGGAUAACUUCGGGAAACCGGAGCUAAUACCGGAUAAUAUAUUGAACCGCAUGGUUCAAUAGUGAAAGACGGUUUUGCUGUCACUUAUAGAUGGAUCCGCGCCGCAUUAGCUAGUUGGUAAGGUAACGGCUUACCAAGGCAACGAUGCGUAGCCGACCUGAGAGGGUGAUCGGCCACACUGGAAGUGAGACACGGUCCAGACUCCUACGGGAGGCAGCAGUAGGGAAUCUUCCGCAAUGGGCGAAAGCCUGACGGAGCAACGCCGCGUGAGUGAUGAAGGUCUUCGGAUCGUAAAACUCUGUUAUUAGGGAAGAACAAAUGUGUAAGUAACUAUGCACGUCUUGACGGUACCUAAUCAGAAAGCCACGGCUAACUACGUG
rnacentral:rRNA from 1 species